UUCGCAAGACAACGUUGUGCGACUGUAUGUACAUUUCAGACAACAAAAACAACAGCUUUCAUGGAUUGUAUUAUUUACCUGGCACUGUAUGACCAAAUGUGGAUAUUCUAGCCCACUUCUAAGAUGACAAAACAGCUUGCGAACUCAUCCUGAAGAAAAACAAAACGACACUCCCUCUUCAGAUCGCCCUUCUGCAGUUCCUCCAUCCAGCCCGAGUUGAACCUCCUGGUACGCACCAGGACACUGCGUGCUUCAUCUGGAUCCAGGAAGACUGAGGAGCAAGCAUAGCGCAGUGAUGUCCAGAUGAAGAUGAUGAGCAAGCUUACGAAGACACUCAAGCAUGUUGUCGACGCCAUGGAAACGCUGUUUGCUCUGUAUGAGGCUGAAGUCCAGUAACCCCAACACUGGCCAAAUGCGGAUGACCCUGACGAG